rnacentral:rRNA from 1 species
AGCUUCAGUAGCGUAUAUUAAAGUUGUUGCAGUUAAAAAGCUCGUAGUCGCAUUUCUGGCGAGAGGAUCCGGUCCGACCUUUUGGUGGGUUCUUGGGUCUCUUUCGCCAUCCUUGAGUGGUCCGUUCUGGCAUUAGGUUGUCGGAGCGUCAGCCGCUCAUCGUUUACUGUGAGAAAAUUAGAGUGUUCAAAGCAGGCUUAUGCCGUUGAAUAUAUUAGCAUGGAAUAAUAAGAUAGGACCUCGGUACUAGUUUGUUGGUUUGCGCACCAAGGUAAUGAUGAACAGGGACAGUUGGGAGUAUUUGUAUUUCGUUGUCAGAGGUGAAAUUCUUAGAUUUACGAAAGACAAACUACUGCGAAAGCAUUUACCAAGGAUGUUUUCA